UGCCUCUCGCCCCGCUCGCGAUGUUCGGCUGCUCGGGGCUCGGCCGAUUUCCCCCUUUUGGAGGAGGCGCGCGGUGCAGCCCGGCAGACACCCUGGGAGCGAGGAGGGUAUUUUGGGGAGUUGCAGUGUUGUGCGGAAGAUCAUGUCUGUGCCCUGUGGUGCUGUCAGCAGUGACAGAUCCCAGACGCGGCCGCUACUGUAUGGCAGAUUGAGUUUCUCAGCAGAAAACUCUCCCUCCCUCCCUCCCUCCUGAACGUCUUCAAAAACCUUCUCCAGAUACUGCGGGUCACUUCGGCUCCAGCGGAGAGAGAAAAGGGGAAAAAGCCUUCCCGGUCUCCCACCUUCCCUUCCUCCCGCCGGCUCUUCCUGGGGCGCGGGGGGGCCGUGCCCUACCCUCCCCCCUCUCCCCCCCUCGGGGGUGCUCUCGGCUCCCCGAUCGCCUCCAGUGCGCUCAGAGCCCGCAGCGGGACGUCUUCUUCAGAUUGUGGUAUAGCUAUACCCUGUUCAUACCAUGGACCAGUCUACAGCUCCUGGGCUGGAGAGGGAGGUGAAAACACCAGAAUGCAGAGGUAAGGCAGCAGCAAUGAGCACAGUUCCCAUGUCACUCCAUUCACUAAGGACCAUAUAUAUAUACAUACAAUUAUACAUAUAAUUUAUAUAAACUCAUAUUAAAUAUGUAUACA
ensembl:lncRNA